UACGGGGGGGGGCAAGCGUUGUUCGGAAUUACUGGGCGUAAAGGGCGCGUAGGCGGCCAGCACAAGUCAGUUGUGAAAUCUCCGGGCUUAACUCGGAAAGGUCAACUGAUACUGUGCGGCUAGAGUGCAGAAGGGGCAACUGGAAUUCUCGGUGUAGCGGUGAAAUGCGUAGAUAUCGAGAGGAACACCUGCGGCGAAGGCGGGUUGCUGGCUGACACUGACGCUGAUGCGCGAAAGCCAGGGGAGCGAACGGG
rnacentral:rRNA from 1 species